AUGGAAACAAAUGCUGAGAAGGAGCCUCUGCUGCCUGGGUACGUGAAUGACCAUGGUGAACAGAGGGCUCAGUAAGGAACCCUGACGGACUGGUUUCAACUACUGUAGUGGGGGAAGACAAUCUGAUAUGAGAAAAAUGGAGACUUAAGGAAGAAAGAAGUUUUCCCCAUGACGGCAUGAAGAAAAGCCACACAGUCCUCUGGUGGGAACCAUUA